CAAUAAUAAAAGUGUGUGAUAUGCGCGAACAAAGUGAAAACUCAGUUGAAACCAAAGAAUAAUCAAAUAAUUAAGUUUUAGUGAAUAUAUCAACCAGCGAACUGCAGCACUCUGUACUUAUACAAACAAUUUGAUCCCACUACAAUAAAUAUCCUAAAGUUAAAGCCCAAGUAGUGGCUAGUGUUUGAAAUGACAAGAUUAGGAUUAGUGGCCAUCCAGCUGCUCCUGCUGAUAUGGAGUUGCCUUGGGGCGCUGUCUCAGGCCAAAUCCCUCAUCGACUAUCGCAUUGACAAUGAGAAUGCCAUUGCCAAGGAUGUGGAAACAUAUAAUUUUGAAAGUUGUCAAAUCUACUGCUAUGGCGAACUCUUGAAGACCAUUCAAAUGGCCAAACUGUUUGAGGACUCAAAGACAUUUGUGGACAUGAAACUGAAGCAGGCGCCGGCCAAGACCCUCGAGGACUUUGAGCUGCUGAUGGAGUCCAAGAAUAGGACACCCAGUCGCGAGGAUCUGCAGAAGUUUGUGGAUGAUUACUUCAGUCCGAAGGGCACGGAGCUGGAAUUGUGGACACCGACAGACUGGAAGGCGAAUCCAAGCUUCCUUGAUCAGAUCACUGAUCCAGACCUGAAGCAGUGGGGCCAGGAGCUGAACAAUAUCUGGAAGGAUCUGGGCCGCAAGAUGAACGACGAUGUGCUGAAGAAUCCUGAGUACUACUCGAUCAUCCCAGUGCCGAAUCCAGUGAUCAUUCCGGGCGGCCGCUUCAUCGAGUUCUACUACUGGGACUCGUACUGGAUUAUCCGCGGACUGCUGCACAGCGAGAUGCAGGACACGGCCCGUGGAAUGAUCGAGAACUUCAUGUCCAUUGUGCAGAGAAUCGGCUUCAUUCCCAAUGGAGGACGUGUCUACUACUGGGGCCGCUCCCAGCCACCACUAUUGACGGGCAUGGUCAAGUCCUACGUGGACUUCACCAACGACGAUCUGUUCGCCAUCAAUGCCCUGGAGGUGCUCGAGCACGAGUUCGAGUACUUCGUGAACAAUCAUUCGGUGCAGGUAAAGGGUCACAAUUUGGCCGUCUACCGCGACUCGUCGACCGGUCCGCGGCCCGAGUCCUAUCGCGAGGAUGUGGAGACAGCAGAGAACUUUGACACGCCCGAGGCCAAGGAGGAUCACUACAGCGAACUCAAGUCUGCCGCCGAGUCUGGCAUGGACUUCAGCUCGCGUUGGUUCAUCAAUGAGAACGGCACAAAUGUCGGAAAUCUCAGCAACCUGAGGACACGCUCCAUUGUGCCCGUCGACCUGAAUUCCUUCCUCUACUGGAACGCCAAGCUGAUAGCCGAAUUCCACGCAAAGGCCGGCAACGUGGACAAGAUGACGGAGUACGAGAAGAAGGCCCAGACACUUCUGCAGGGCAUCCAGGAUGUACUGUGGAAUGAGGAGGCUGGCUGUUGGCUGGACUACGACAUGAUCAAUGAGAAGCCACGCGACUACUUUGUGUCCACCAACCUCGCGCCGCUCUUUGUGAAGGCGUACAACAUCUCCGAUACGGAGAAGAUCUCGGCCUCGGUGCUGAGCUACAUUGAGAAGAACAAACUGGACACAUUCCCGGGCGGAGUGCCCAAUACACUCUACCAUACCGGCGAGCAGUGGGACUUCCCCAAUGUGUGGGCGCCUAUGCAGUACAUCGUCGUCGAGGGACUGGCCAAUCUGAACACACCCGCAGCCAAGGAGCUCUCCAAGAAGUGGGCCCUUCGCUGGGUCAAGUCGAACUUCAAGGCCUACACCGACAACUUCCACAUGUACGAGAAGUACAAUGCUGAGGAGUUUGGCGGCCAUGGCGGUGGCGGUGAAUAUGGAGUCCAGACAGGAUUCGGCUGGUCCAAUGGUGUGAUCAUUGAGUGGCUCAGCAAGCACGGACGUGAGCUCUCCGAAGGCUCUGGCGGCGGUGGAGCAGGUGAAGAGCUGCAGUAGAAUGAAGGCCCCAAAAACGCUAUACAUCACACAUCCAUCAAACAAUCAAUCAAUCGCCAAAACACUCGUUAAAUCAAAUUGAUAUAUUUGUAUAUGAAACCAUCAUCAAUGUUGCUCAUCUUUAGGCUAAGAAAAUGCUCUCUAUCUUUCUACACUUCACCUAUCUAUCCCGCUAUCUCGCUGUCUAUAACUAUACUACGUAUACAAUGUAUCGCGUGCAAACGACAAGAGCAAUCGACACUUGACACCACAGCACCACAGUCAAAGCACCAAGCAACACAGCUGGAAGCAGGAAUACGAUCGCCCAAAAACUGUCUGUUAAACCAUCUUAUUGUCAACGUCUGCGCAUUCGUGUUUAUUGUCAAAAUUCAAAUCAAAAUCAAAUCAAAAUGAAUGUAGAUUGUCCUCAAAGCCGCCUCAAGUUCCAGAUAUCAGCGCACCACCAAAAGCCUCAUCAGUGUUGUGGGCGUGGCAGCUGUAACCAUAGUGGCUCUGAUAGCAGGUCGUGUUCUGUGGUGAGAGACAUAUUGCUUUGUGCCAAAAACAAAACCCCCUACGUAAUUGCUUCCCCAACGAAAAUGUGAUUCCCCCUCGCUCGAUCUGUGUGCGUGUGUCUGUGUGUAUUGUCCGUACAUGUGGUUUUUUGUCGGAAUGCGCGGAGAUUGCAGUAUUAGAUUUUGUCAUUAUUUGUUAGUAGAAGUGAGAGUUGUAUAUACAGAAUUUAUAUGGGCAUGCCCUACAUUGUUAUUAAUUAUGAAUAUUUAGUGAAUAUACCUAAAAAACAAACAAAAAACCAAUCCUAGCUCCUCGCAACCAAAU